rnacentral:lncRNA from 1 species
UUCUUUGCAAGGUUGUGCUGUUUCUUUGACAAACCGUUCUGCCUGUUUUCCAAUCAAAGCUUCUUCUUUCUCUACAUUAUGUGUUUCAGAUUCAUCAAUUCUUUCAGUGGCAGCUUCUGUCUCUUCCCUGUUUUGUUUUUUGGGUUCUUCAAUUGGUGGUUCUUUAGGUUUCUCUUCAAUUAUUGGUUCUUCAAGUUUCUCUUUACCUGCUAGUUCUUCAGGUAUCUCAUUAACUGUUGGUUCUUCAAAGUUCUCAACUGCUGAUUCCUCAGGUUUCUCCUCAACUGAUGGUUCUUCAUGUUUUUCAUCAACUGUAGCUUCUUCAGGUUUCACCUCAACUGUUGGUUCCUCAAGUUUUUGGUCAACUACUUGUUCUUCAGUUGCUAGUUCUUCAGGUUUCUUUUCAACUGCUAGCUCUUCACGUGUCUCUUUAACCACUGGUUCUUCAGGUGUUUCUUUCACCUCUGGUUCUUGAGAUUGCUCCUCAAUCACUGAUUCUUGGGGUUUCUCUUCACUUUUUGGUUUGGGUGUUACUUCAACUGCUGGUUCUUCAGGUUUUCCUUCAACUGCUAGUUCUUCAGGUUUUUCAUCAAUUGUUGGUUCUUCAAGUUUCUCUUGAACUGUUGGUUCUUUUGGUUUCUCUUGAACUUCUGGUUCUUGAGGUUUCUCUUCAAUCAUUGGUUGUUCAGGUGUUUCUUUCGCCACAGGUUCUUCUAGUGUCCCUUCAAUCACUGGUUCGUCGGAUUUCUCCUCAACCGCUGGUUCUUUGGGUUUCUCCUCAACUUUUGAUUCUUCAAGUUUCUCCCUAACAACUGGUUCUUCUGGUUUCUGUUCAACUGUCGGUUCCACUGGUUUCUCUUCAACUGCUGAAUCUUCAGGCGUUUCCUCAACUUCAAUGGUAUUGCAUGAAAUUUCUUGAGGUUUCUCGUCAACUAGUUGUUCAGGUGUCCCUUCAACUGCUGGUUUGUCAGGUUUCUCUGGUUCUUCGAGUUUCUCCUCAAUUUUUGGUUCUUCGGGUUUCUCCUCGAUGUCAAAUUCUUCCCGUUUCUCUUCAACUGUCGAUUCCUUGAGUUUCUCUUCAACUGCUGAAUCUUCGGGUUUUUCCUCAAUUUCAGCAAAAUCAUUGUUGGUAUUGCAUGAAAUUUCAUUGCCAGUCUUAUCAUUUGAGUCCACAACAUGCUUAUUCUGCUAGAAGAAAGUUUCACUUAAUUUUUCAAUAGAUAAGCAGAUGUGAAUUCAUUGCACAUACAUAACUAUUAGGAUGGACAACUUUGUGACAGUGUUUGAUCCUCACCUUUUCGAGGGGCGUUACCUUUUCAGCUGCUGCUUUCUCUAGUUUCUCUUCAACAACUACUUCUUCAUGUUUCUCUUCAGCUACUUGUUUGUCAGGUGUUUCUUCCCGUGCUGGUUUAUCAACUGUUUCUUCCCCUGCAACUGGUUCGUCAAGCUUCUCUUCAACUACUAAUUUUUCAGGUGUUUCCUCAACCAUUAGUUCUUCGAAUUUCUCCGAUACAACUGGUUCUUUAGGUUUCUCUUUCAGUGCAGGUUCCUCAUAUUUUUUUUCUAUUACUGUUUCUUCAUGUUUUUCCUCAACAGCUGGAUAGUCAGAAACAUCACUGUUGUCGUUGCACAGAAUUUCACCAUUAAUCUUGUCUGUUGAGUGACUUGAGUCCGUAUCUGGCAUAUUCUACAAGAAGAAUUUAAAGAU